rnacentral:tRNA from 1 species
GAAAAGAUAGCAUAAUGUAUGCAAUUGCCUUGAAAGCUCUCCUAUAAGGAAUACAUCUCCUUUCUUUUCG